rnacentral:rRNA from 1 species
GUAGUCCACGCCCUAAACGAUGUCAACUGGUUGUUGGUGGGGUUAAACCCAUUAGUAACGAAGCUAACGCGUGAAGUUGACCGCCUGGGGAGUACGGCCGCAAGGUUAAAACUCAAAGGAAUUGACGGGGACCCGCACAAGCGGUGGAUGAUGUGGAUUAAUUCGAUGCAACGCGAAGAACCUUACCUACCCUUGACAUGCCAGGAAGUCUGCUGAGAGGUGGACGUGCCCGAAAGGGAGCCUGGACACAGGUGCUGCAUGGCUGUCGUCAGCUCGUGUCGUGAGAUGUUGGGUUAAGUCCCGCAACGAGCGCAACCCUUGUCACUAGUUGCUACGAAAGGGCACUCUAGUGAGACUGCCGGUGACAAACCGGA